AUAAUCAAGAUAGAAAUUUCUGCUUUGCGUUAAAUCUCCUUCGACAACAUGCUGGAUGACAUCAUUUAAUAUUGCAGAUGAGUUUUUACCCAUAUCUGAAUUAACCAGAAGUAAUUUCCUUGCAAAGCUAAUUUCAAAUCGUUUGUAGGACCAUAUGGAAAAUUGUAUGUAAGGAUAUUUUCUUUGUACAAUAUGCAAGUUCUGCAUUUUCUCCAUUAAUUUAUUCUGCUCGUUUUACUUCAGAACAAUUACUGAACAUGCAUUAUAUGUACAAUGAAUUUAAUUCUGUAUUCAUAAAACAGGACAAGAAACUAUGUAGUUACUGUAUAAUGAUCCUUGCCUUGCAUAAUGACAUUGAAACAUCCACUUUAAAUAGUUUAAUUCCAAAGGAUGUUCAAUUAACUUAGCCAACAAAACAAGGCACCAUUGUGCUUAUUUACUUGCUUUGCUUAGAUUAAAGCUUCUGUUUGUCUGGUCUAAACAGCCCAAUAUAAUGGGACAAGUCUGAUUUCUGUGUUUAGUCUAGUUUCAGCAGAGCCUGAGCAGCGCUUCCACUGCGCUCCGCCGAGGUCGCUGUUUCCAAGAACAAACCAAAAUUACGCGCCUAGGCGCCAUGUAAUGAUCAUAACCGAGGCCUUGUGCCUUUCAAGUAAUUUCUUUGUCUUGCACAUGGUAGAAUACAUAUGCAUAAAAUGCGUAUCUUAAAUCAUGUUGCAAGGACAUUUUUUUAUUUCAAAUUUUCACCGCGAAUUACAAUAUGAGCCAUGCACAGAAUGGAUCAAGCAAAUAUGUGACUUUUUUUUUUUAGCUAUGCUAAUAUAACUUGGAAUAUUUAUCACUAACAAAAUGGAAAUCUGCAAUGCAUCGAUUACGCCGCCGUACGUAUGAAACUGCCGCAAUCUGCAGCAGGGUACCGCGGACCAUCAUCGGUACUUUGAAAUAAUGCUUCGACAACGCACACAUAUUGAAGGGAAAUCGAAAUGUAUCAUAUUUAAUUUAAACAUGAACUUGAUCCUUCUUAGGAAAAACAAACAAAUCGAAUGUAGAAUGUUAUAUUCAGGAAAUUCCACAUCGUUCGGAAAGCACAGUCCAUCUUUAGAUUAUAAAAUAAGGAAGAAUCUCUUGUGCUCUUUAAAAAAAUACCAUUGCAUUAAUUUCGGAAUGGGCGGGGGUGGAAAGUUAUAGAAUGGCUAUCUACUAUAUCGUUUUGUUGCACGUUUUUAUUCCUGUUACGGAACUUUACCGCUGGCCGUAUCAAACCAAAAGCCUUUAAAUUUUUUCAUGUUUUUUUAAAGUAUCUGCUGUUUCUUUCCAAACCAGCUCAAGAACUCACUGGCGAUGACGAUAACUGCAGUAAUUCAGGCAGUUUCGUGUUGUAGAGUUAGACCUUACCCCAACAACAUGAAACUACCUAAAUCACAGAUCUCACCUUCAUCCUGAAUACUUCCAGAUGUUUGAUCUGCUAGAGUAUUUCGAUUCUUCAAACUCUUCUGAGUUUUGCAGAUUAAAAGAUCUGGUGUGCAUUUUGUUCGAAGAAAACCAAUUUCCUACAUCCGAGCGGUGCGCUGCUUCCUCUGUCUUCGUGGCUGUUCGCUCAACUGAAACCACUCGUCCAAGACAGCAACAACCCAGAUAUACUAGCAAGUCAUAAAACUCAACAAAAGCCGACAAACGUUACAGCACCAUUGCUAUAUGGCCCAGACAAAUUACGACCGUCUAGGUAAUAUUUAAAUAGAUUGCAACGGUAAUUGCCAGUCUUAAACCCACCAUUCCUGUAGUAAACCUUCUCAACAGAUAAAGGUAAGGAAAAAAACACCGAACACAAAAUGAACUUUAAAAAAACAAUGUGCAUAUACCUAUCUCAAAGGACUCCGACGAAAUACGUUUUAUUCAUCUUCCAGGGAACACAAGAUUUUGCUAACGUACACAGUGCAGCGGCAAUAGGAUCAAGCAUUUUCUGAGUUUUCCAGUAAGAAUAUUUCUUUUUUUUUCAAAAUCAAAAAUGAAUUAAUUCUAGUUGAUUUUAUUUUCUUUUUAAAAGGGAAUCAGCGGCACGGAAUAAAAGGUCCCACAUUCUACUUCAUUAUGUUUGCAACAAUGUUUCACAUUUAAAUGUGCAAUGGUGCUUCCGUUCAUGGCAUGUGAUAUAUUUAUGUAACAACACACUUUUACAGUAUAUUCACAUUUAACUUUUAUCGACAUAUCGGUAUAUGGUAGUAACAUUAUCCUGGAACUAUUUUAACAGCAUAAAUGUAUUUAAAUAUUACAAUGUUCGAUUUACUUAGCUGAUAAUUGGUAACUAGCACAAUUAAAUGUUUGUUGACAUGUUCAUCAUCCUUCUUCCCCACCCCACCCCCUCCCAACCC